GUUUGUGUUAUGUUAGAUGUAUAUAAAGGUUCUGUAGAAUUUGUAGUGUGAGUUGGUUUGAGUUUGUGUAGCUUUUAGUUGUGGCAAUUAUGCACUUGAUGAUUUUGGCUUUAGUGGGUCGACAAUCUCUAGAUUUUGGAAAUGGAUCAAGGUUGGCAGUGGAGAGGGUUAUUGGGUUUGUGCCGGAGGAAUUGGUUGAAAGCAGGCUUUGGUAUGGGUCUUGAGACUUGACGGAAGCUUCCAUGAAAAUGAUUAUGAAGCAAAUUGAUGGUAAUGGUAGGAGUGUGUGGAAUUGACUUGGGUUGACGGUGGUUAUGGGACCUGAAGAAGGUCUGGUAUGGGUCUUGAGAGUUGAUGGAAGCUUCCAUGAAAAUGAUUCGGAAGCAGGGCGAUGGUAACAGUAGGAGUAGCAUGGAACUGACUUGGGUUGACGGCGUCUAUUAGACCUGAAGAAGGUUACAUACAAGCUGAAUCCUGAACUUAUAAUAUAUUGUUAGCACUCAUCAUAAGCUUUUUUCUCAUAUAAUGGUUAACAUUACUUUACUCUGAUAUAGGAUAUAUAGGCAUCUCGCAUUAGAUACGAUGUACAAACUGUAGAAUCUUGUCCUUACAAAAAAACCCUUAGGUCUCUCCUCUCUUUCUUUCUAAGCUUUUCUGGGUUUUUUUCUUAGCAUCAUCUUUAAUCAUUCUCACUUCUAUCCUUAUUUUACUUUCUUUUCUGAGACAUUUAACUGUGUUUAUCACUGUCAUUUCAGUUGAUUAGAUGAUAUGCAGUUUGCUAGUUACUUCCUUCCCUAUAUUUGUUUCUACCUUCCCUAUCAGUCUUUUCAUAUCUUCCAGUCAUCUUUCUUUCUCUGUUAGUAUUUAUAUUUUAAAUAGCAGCCCUCAGUGAGGGUUUUGUUUUCCCCUUAACUAUCUUUUCUGUUUUUUUCAAAGAAAAGUUAGAAGGGAUUUGUAGUAGUCUUUUGCUGCAUUAACUUCUGUUUUCUAGGAUGAAUCAAUUCCGUUCCACCGACUAUAAAUCCCCUGAUAUAUUUCCUUCUGGUUUUGAGUAAUGCAUAUUUCUGUAGUCCUUAUCCUCACCAGUCACCUGGCUUAUCUUCCACUUCCAUGGAGAGUGUUGACCAAGCUAUGCCGAAAUUUAAGGUAAGAUAUUGCUUAAUCAUUGUUUAAAUGCUUCUGCCAUUCUUUUCAUGAUGUUACAUUACAGUUAAUAAGAAUUGUUUAAUAUGUGAAUCAGGAAGGCAAAACUUUACUCAUGCUUCUUCAGUUAUGGAUCAUGAGAUGUGGUCAGUUUCAAUUGCAAAUCAGUUUCUGCCAUAAUGUCCUCUCUGGGUCGCAAAUUUGAUUGUUUCUUUUUCUUCCUUCUUCAGUAACUUGUGUAACUUGUUUGGUCUGCUGAAAUAAAAUGUUUAAUGACUAUCAUCUAUCUGAUAUUUUGUAUUUGAUUUAAAUACUUAUUCACCUUAUUAAUUUAUAUUGCGUUUCAUUGAAAGCUCUAGAAUAAUUGGCUGCAUUUUAACGAACUUUUGUAUCCGACGUUGUUAGUUAAGCUUUCACUAAGUAAAAUGUGUGGCUCCUAAUAUUGAUGGAACUUGUCUCAUGAAAUAUUUGGUAAUGAUUCGCAUAUAUCAAAUAUUUGGUGUCAUGUUUGAAACAUUCAUAAUUGUGUAUUUUCAUGCAAUUGCAACUACAUUUUAGGCUCCUUAAUAAUUAAGUAGUUAACAUAAAUUUAUGUUCGGUAAAUCCAACUCAAUUGAUAGAAGGCCGAAGAGGCUUCAACUCCAACACCCUUCUUUUUCUUUUUACUUGAGGUGUGGGUUUUGAAAUUAAAUUUUUUAAUCAAGGUAAAAUGGGUUUGAACAAAUAAAUUGAAUUUCAACCGUUAUUAUUAAAGUAAUUUUAAUAAAAUAAAUUAUAAAUUUAUAAUAUUUGAAUUAUUUUAAAUAAUUUUUUUUUUAAAUGUUGAUUUAUUUAAUUUUAGUGUUUUGUUUUAAAUCUUAUGUUUUGUGGUGAUGUGCUUUAGUAAAUUAUGUCUUUUUCACUUUUGUUUUUGUUUUAAUUUUCCAGUGUCAGGGAUAGUUUCCGUGGUUCGCUUAAAUCAGUGAGAUUGUGGACGAAAUUUUUAGGGUUUGGAAUCGGUGAAAGAGAUCUAUUUUGCGACAGUGAAGUUUUUGUACUUUCUUGCUUGUUUCUGAUACCUUGUAUUGUGGCAUUGAGAAUUUGAGAUCUAGUUUUUUUUUUUUUUUGUGUGUGUGUGACUAUGGAGACACUUGUUGUUGUUGACCAGCAUAAGAAUCAAUACUGUAGCAGAUCUAAGUCACAAGGCCAUGGUAGAUUUGGAUCUUCACCUUCAAAACAAUUUAGAGGGAUUAACUGUAGGACUUUUCAAUCUGAUUCAGGUAUAUUACCAACUCCUUUGAAAUCUCAGAGUUUUCAUGAAACUAAAACACCAACAUCUCCUGUUACUGAAAACCCUAAUAGGAAAAAAACUAGUCCUAAGAGCUCCCCGAUUCCGAUUAAUGGUAAAACUUGUAGAAAAGAGACAACUUUCAGUGGAGAUUUAUGCUGUGGAAGCUUUUUGCUAUCUGAGUUAUGGGCUGGACCUACAUAUUCAAAUUCGCCACCACCUAGUUCUCUGCCGAUUCCUAAGUUUUCUGUGAGACCGAAGAGGACUGUGUCUCUUGAUCUUCCUGAUUCCUCUCCUGAGAUUGAAUUGCGCCCGAUGGCUAAGUCUGCACCCUCUUCUCCGACCAGGGAGCGAUUGUGUUUUACAAGGGAUCUCUUUGUGAAUGCUGAUUCUGCUACUGAGACCCUUCGUCGGAUUCUCAAUCUCGACAUCAAUGAUGAAUGAAACUUAAGGAGCAAUGCACUCCUGUAAAUAAGUGUUUUCAAUGAAAGUAGGUUUGUGUUAUGUUAGAUGUAUAUAAAGGUUCUGUAGAAUUUGUAGUGUGAGUUGGUUUGAGUUUGUGUAGCUUUUAGUUGUGGCAAUUAUGCACUUGAUGAUUUUGGCUUUAGUGGGUCGACAAUCUCUAGAUUUUGGAAAUGGAUCAAGGUUGGCAGUGGAGAGGGUUAUUGGGUUUGUGCCGGAGGAAUUGGUUGAAAGCAGGCUUUGGUAUGGGUCUUGAGACUUGACGGAAGCUUCCAUGAAAAUGAUUAUGAAGCAAAUUGAUGGUAAUGGUAGGAGUGUGUGGAAUUGACUUGGGUUGACGGUGGUUAUGGGACCUGAAGAAGGUCUGGUAUGGGUCUUGAGAGUUGAUGGAAGCUUCCAUGAAAAUGAUUCGGAAGCAGGGCGAUGGUAACAGUAGGAGUAGCAUGGAACUGACUUGGGUUGACGGCGUCUAUUAGACCUGAAGAAGGUUACAUACAAGCUGAAUCCUGAACUUAUAAUAUAUUGUUAGCACUCAUCAUAAGCUUUUUUCUCAUAUAAUGGUUAACAUUACUUUACUCUGAUAUAGGAUAUAUAGGCAUCUCGCAUUAGAUACGAUGUACAAACUGUAGAAUCUUGUCCUUACAAAAAAACCCUUAGGUCUCUCCUCUCUUUCUUUCUAAGCUUUUCUGGGUUUUUUUCUUAGCAUCAUCUUUAAUCAUUCUCACUUCUAUCCUUAUUUUACUUUCUUUUCUGAG
rnacentral:lncRNA from 1 species